CCCUUAGAUGUUCUGGGCCGCACGCGCGCUACACUGAUGCAUUCAACGAGUAAUCUUUGACCUUGGUCGACAGAUCUGGGUAAUCUUUUGAAAUUGCAUCGUGAUGGGGCUUGCGGGUUGCAAUUACCCGCACCAACGAGGAAUUCCUAGUAAACGCAAGUCAUCAACUUGCAUUGAUUACGUCCCUGCCCUUUGUACACACCGCCCGUCGCUACUACCGAUUGAAUGGUUUAGUGAGAUCUUCGGAUUGGCGCCACUGCGGCUCAGCAAUGGGCUCGGUGGAUGCCGAAAAGUUGAUCAAACUUGAUCAUUUAGAGGAAGUAAAAGUCGUAACA
rnacentral:rRNA from 1 species